GGAGCCUCCCUUUGGCUUUGGUGGACCUUAAGUCAGACCUUCAAUCUGCUCUGGGAUUUAAAAAUGACGACUCACCUUUGCAUACCUAUGAGGCAGCUGUCCACCAGAUGGCACCAGACAGCUAUCAGGAGCUGCACACUAAGAGAUUACAGUUACUGCAUUCCAUCCUUGGUGGAGAGUCAGCUAUGGUUGUUCUACAUGAAACCUACCGAAUCAUCGUUCCUUCUAGGGCGACCUUCUGCAGCUCCUCCUGGUGUUUUGAGUGGGGAACUCACACCAAAGCCAUCACGGUAAGGGCCGGAAGAAAGGAGAAGAGGAAUGCGAUGCUUAACUUUCAAGGACCACAGUGCUCUGUAACUUCCGCACCCAAUUUUGGCUCUGCUGAGCUGUGGCUUUGCUGCCCUCACCCAGCACUCGGUGUCACUGGUGCCCCUCCUGGGGGUGCAUCCUCACUGCCACCUUGCGUGUGACAGCCCCUGAAAUCCUGGGAUACAGCCUGCAGCGUCCUGAGGAGUCUCUCAGAUGGCCAAAAAGCAACCAAGGAGGAGGAUCUCCCAUCCAGGAUAUGGAAACUAUACAAGGAAAGGGAUAAAUUCCUGGCAGUGUGAUGCACAGACACAGCACUUAAACAUCUUUGUCCCAGGCAACUCUGCGGCUGUGUUACUUUGGCAUUUUGGUCUGUCUGAAGCAUGACCCAAAAGAGUCCCAAGCACCCCAACAUCCAUCUUACACGCUGAAAAAUUAAGAAUAUACUGGAACUUAAAUAUACAUGAUGCCAGGAGUUUCACUAA